GGUACUUGGUUUUGGAAUCUAAGAGUACUUUGCUGACAAAAUAGAUGGACCUUUGCACUUUGUAUACAUGGCCGGGUUCUAACCAUUCGACUACUAUCACUGUGCUUACGAUGUUAGUAGUUGCAACGAUGUAGAGCAGCAAGUCUUCAUUGGGGCUAGGUGCCGUGAGGACCGGUGGCCUUGACAGGAAGUCCUUCAACUGUUGCAGGGCUUGGUUUGCCUCCUCGGUCCACUAGAACUUGUCUUGCCGCUUGAGUAAUUUGAAGAAGGGAAUGC
rnacentral:lncRNA from 1 species